UACGGAGGGUGCAAGCGUUAUCCGGAUUUACUGGGUUUAAAGGGUGUGUAGGCGGAUAUUUAAGUCAGAGGUGAAAUCUCCGAGCUCAACUCGGAAACUGCCUUUGAUACUAUUUAUCUUGAAUUUCGUUGAGGUUGGCGGAAUAUAUCAUGUAGCGGUGAAAUGCAUAGAUAUGAUAUAGAACACCGAUUGCGUAGGCAGCUGGCUGAACGAACAUUGACGCUGAGGCACGAAAGCGUGGGUAGCGAAC
rnacentral:rRNA from 1 species